rnacentral:rRNA from 1 species
GAUGAACGCUGGCGGCGUGCCUAAUACAUGCAAGUCGAACGCUGAAGGAGGAGCUUGCUCUUCUGGAUGAGUUGCGAACGGGUGAGUAACGCGUAGGUAACCUGCCUGGUAGCGGGGGAUAACUAUUGGAAACGAUAGCUAAUACCGCAUGACAACAGUUAUUGCAUGAUAACUGUUUAAAAGGGGCAACUGCUCCACUACCAGAUGGACCUGCGUUGUAUUAGCUAGUUGGUGAGGUAACGGCUCACCAAGGCGACGAUACAUAGCCGACCUGAGAGGGGGAUCGGACAAACUGGGAGUGAGACACGGCCCAGACUCCUACGGGAGGCAGCAGUAGGGAAUCUUCGGCAAUGGACGGAAGACUGACAGAGAAACGCCGCGUGAGUGAAGAAGGUUUUCGGAUCGUAAAGCUCUGUUGUAAGAGAAGAACGAGUGUGAGAGUGGAAAGUUCACACUGUGACGGUAUCUUACCAGAAAGAGACGGCUAACUACGUG